GCCUGUCAUUGUGGAGUGUGCGCUUGGGCAAUUGUUGUUGUUAGUUAAUGGAAAUGUGCAUGGAAGGUAAAGUUUAGGAGCGAAUUUAUGUGGCUCGGACGCUGCAGUCAGGGGACAAGUUCUCAGCUGCCCUCGCUGGCGCCUUGCGCGCUCCUGCUGCGUCUGGCUCCUCCGGAUAUCGACUGUUCUCUUCAGAAGCUGAAAAGCAAGGCGGAUAUUACAGCCAACCGGUAAUAGAGGUGAGAAGAACCGAAAUCGAAGGAGACACGCUAUUUUUGUCUUUAACCGUUGAGGUUUCAACUGUUUUUUACCAAGUCCUCUCGGUGGCAAGUCCUAUCGGUUUCUCUACACCUGGCUUUGGAAACUCAGACCCAUCUCUCUUUCACAGUUGGCUUUCACAUUUCCUUGGCUGCACAAUAAAUACAGAGCGGCAGGCGUAAAUAUGAGCCAAGUAACAGUAGAUUGAGAAUAUUUCAGCAGCCUGUCUCUUAGAGGUACUUUGUCAGGAAAGAUCAUCUUUUCCUCCCUGGAAGUGCACAGCCUGCACUUAGUGGAACUUCAGUCAAGCCUCGUCUGUCACCGAGGUGGGCACAAGCUCUGGGCUGGCCAAUCAGAGCACCCAGGGCCACUAGAUGCAAAGGAUUUGGGUACACGUGGGAAAAUACUGCAAAUUGGGUGUUUAAAUACUGAUAUGGAAGCUGGGAGAGAUGCUGUCUCUCCCCUGAGAUUGAGGGCAGAAAGAACUAGUUAAGCUUGGAGCUGUUGGUGUCAUCUUUGCUGCUAUGUGGGCUGAGCCUGCCUGAGAAUGAAGCCAACAGUGAGGAAAACAGAACAGAAAACGGAAGUGGUGUUGGAAAGAAAGAAGAAAGGGGGGAAAUGGAUGACAUUUAAAUUCCUGAAUGUAGCUAUACUUGUCACUAAAUUUAAACGUUUUGCUUUUAGUUUAUGUAAGCCAAUGAAUUACCAUUUUUUCUUAAGUUAUUUUCAAUUAUUGAGAUUCAGUCCUAUGUAACCAAAAAAGUCCCUUUGUUACAGUGAACGUCAAUGGUUGCAAUAAAAGUCUGGUGAUUAUGGUGACAGUUCAAUUUAAUUCCACAGCUAUCAUUGGAAUAUAAAUACUUUCUUCCUUUCUUCAAUGGUUUUCGAAAGAAGCCUCACAACAAUUUCCCAGAAUUAAUACAUAAAGUAGGGAUACCUGAAUUCCUUUCCCGGGCUCCCGAUAGUACAUUGCCUUCAGCUCUUCUGUCUUCUUAAUGAAGAGAUGAUGCCCCCCUGGCUUUGAAUAAACUCCCCGCUUCACAGCUUUUUCUAGGGGACCGAAAAUAUCCCGAAGUAAAGCUGAGCAACGA